AGUACUAGGCUACCUGCAGUCGAACGGUAACAGGAAGAAGCUUGCUUCUUUGCUGACGAGUGGCGGACGGGUGAGUAAUGUCUGGGAAACUGCCUGAUGGAGGGGGAUAACUACUGGAAACGGUAGCUAAUACCGCAUAACGUCGCAAGACCAAAGAGGGGGACCUUCGGGCCUCUUGCCAUCGGAUGUGCCCAGAUGGGAUUAGCUAGUAGGUGGGGUAACGGCUCACCUAGGCGACGAUCCCUAGCUGGUCUGAGAGGAUGACCAGCCACACUGGAACUGAGACACGGUCCAGACUCCUACGGGAGGCAGCAGUGGGGAAUAUUGCACAAUGGGCGCAAGCCUGAUGCAGCCAUGCCGCGUGUAUGAAGAAGGCCUUCGGGUUGUAAAGUACUUUCAGCGGGGAGGAAGGGAGUAAAGUUAAUACCUUUGCUCAUUGACGUUACCCGCAGAAGAAGCACCGGCUAACUCCGUGCCAGCAGCCGCGGUAAUMCGGAGGGUSCAAGCGUUAAUCGGAAUUACUGGGCGUAAAGCGCACGCAGGCGGUUUGUUAAGUCAGAUGUGAAAUCCCCGGGGCUCAACCUGGGAACUGCAUCUGAUWCUGGCAAGCUUGAGUCUCGUAGAGGGGGGUAGAAUUCCAGGUGUAGCGGUGAAAUGCGUAGAGAUCUGGAGGAAUACCGGUGGCGAAGGCGGCCCCCUGGACGAAGACUGACGCUCAGGUGCGAAAGCGUGGGGAGCAAACAGGAUUAGAUACCCUGGUAGUCCACGCCGUAAACGAUGUCGACUUGGAGGUUGUGCCCUUGAGGCGUGGCUUCCGGAGCUAACGCGUUAAGUCGACSGCCUGGGGAGUACGGCCGCAAGGUUAAAACUCAAAUGGAAUUGACGGGGGCCCGCACAAGCGGKGGGAGCAUGGUGGUUUAAUUCGAUGCAACGCGAAGAACCUUACCUGGUCUUGACAUCCACGGAAGUUUUCAGAGAUGAGAAUGUGCCUUCGGGAACCGUGAGACAGGUGCUGCAUGGCUGUCGUCAGCUCGUGUUGUGAAAUGUUGGGUUAAGUCCCGCAACGAGCGCAACCCUUAUCCUUUGUUGCCAGCGGUCCGGCCGGGAACUCAAAGGAGACUGCCAGUGAUAAACUGGAGGAAGGUGGGGAUGACGUCAAGUCAUCAUGGCCCUUACGACCAGGGCUACACACGUGCUACAAUGGCGCAUACAAAGAGAAGCGACCUCGCGAGAGCAAGCGGACCUCAUAAAGUGCGUCGUAGUCCGGAUUGGAGUCUGCAACUCGACUCCAUGAAGUCGGAAUCGCUAGUAAUCGUGGAUCAGAAUGCCACGGUGAAUACGUUCCCGGGCCUUGUACACACCGCCCGUCACACCAUGGGAGUGGGUUGCAAAAGAAGUAGGUAGCUUAACCUUCGGGAGGGCGCUACCACUUGUAUCGUG
rnacentral:rRNA from 1 species